GUGCUCGCUUCGGCAGCACAAGUACUAAAACUGGAACGACACAGAGAAGAUCAGCACGGCCCUGCGCAGGGACGACACGCAAACUCGUGAAGCGUUCCAUGUUUAA